GGAUGUGAGAGCAAUCUGACUGCAACUGACUUCAGUUAUCCAUUGAUUGACAGGGUUGAUUUGGCUGAUUUGGCUGGCUACUGAGUGUCCCCUUCUUUUUUCACCAUUCCAUGUGCAUCCUUCUCAAAGAUAAGUGCUAGGUAGAAGAGGACAACCUUUCCUGAUAGAGAAGGACCGUUCUUAAGUCAAGAGUAUAAGAGUCAAGCUGGGUAACCCUGAUAGAACGUCCAAACAAACUCUUAAGCACAUGUAUUCAAUGAUAAGAAAGUAGUAGGGG
rnacentral:snRNA from 1 species